UGCUGCCAUUAGCAAGCCUCCAAUUUCUUCAUCGUUAUUUCCGCCAUCUCUCAGCAAGAAGCAGAAGGCGCUCCUUAUGGCCGCUGUAAAGGAGUUGGAGAAUUGAACUUUUAUUCGCUUUCCUGCGCUGUUGCCAGCGAAAUUGAACUUUCACUCGCCAUGGUUAAAGAAUGGGAAAGGGAAAGGGUAAAGAAGAAGGCGCGCUUUGCUGCUGCUUCCGAUCUCCUUAGUCUGCUGUACGUUGGAAAUAUUUUUGAUGUUACUGAUCUGAUGGGGAGACAGCAAUUUUUGAUGAUUCGGAUGAAGGAGAGGAGGAGUAGCUCUCGUAGCUGUCUCCUGCAUGAUUCCAUCAUCAACAAAGAUUUUUUUUUUUUAAGAAGUUGGAUUUAGACCUGAUUAUUGUUGAUUAUUGUUGAGAAAGUUCUUUCCCUUUCCCUAACAGACAUGCAUUCGCUUUCCCUUGUGAGUACAGGACUUUUGGUAUAGUCUUUUAAGUAUUGAUGCAUUAAUCUUUAUAUAUGCCUUACUAAUCUGCUUAAUUGUGUUACUAUUUAUGAAUAUCUGAUGUAGAUCGGUAAAUGAAACUAUAGAGCAUAUAUAUAGUCGAUAAUUUUAUGUGUUAGUCUGUUGGUGAAUUGCACAUUUGUCUCGUUUGACUGAUGCGAUGCGGAAAUGUAUAUUUUUGGAAAACUAGAAGAAAAAAUAAUAUGAAAAAAUGUGUCUUACUAUCUAUGGAGACACUGCUUACUUCUACUUAUUCAACUAGAAGUAUUUGUUAUUGUUAUUAUUCUUCUUCUUUUCAUUAAAGGUGAUAUGUUUCCGAAAGGAUUAUUUUUGGAAAUGUUUAUCACAAAGUUCUUCAAAGUGAUCACUUUUCCGAGUUCAAGGAUUCUCUUUUGUUAUGAUGGUCUAUAACUUCUAGUUGAAUAUAUAGACAAUAUUUUGUUAUGAUAAGCUAACAGGUCUUUCAACCAAGACGGUGACACUAUCUCACUCUCGGAUCUGCUGCCUCAUUGGCUCAUGUGGACUAUUAAUAAUUUAGAAUGUUAAAAUGUUACUGAUUGUGUAUCUUAAAAGCUGGAUUGCUUCCUUAGAACUUUUGUGUUCUGUUUCAUGUUUUUUCUUGUCUACAGACUGCGUUGAGCUCCAUCAAAGAAAAUGUGGGGAAGCCCUCCAUCACUGGCAGUUGGACGUGCAAGUUUAUGCAGAUUUGUAUGACAAACCUUGCAAUGUAUGAAGGCUGCUGCAUUGGCAUUCCCCGUCCUCAGCGUCGACAACAGGUGUCCCCAUGCUAUGCGCAAGAAACUCAACCACAUUGACAGAAUGGAGGAGUCCCUCGCCAGGGAAAAAUCUCUCAAAAAAGAGCAGGAGGCGCUCUUCAACUCUAAUCCGUCCAUUCUGGCUGGAAUAAAGGUAUUGAAGAAUCUUCGCCCCUUGCUGUCGAGUCUGUUGGUGGGGAAUUUGAACUUUUGAAGUUCAAGAAUCUUCAAGGCCUUGGGUAGAGAAAGGGAAAGAGAAAAGGCUGGAAUAAAGGAAUUGGAGAAUCUUCGCCCCUUGCUGUCCGGUCUGUUGGUGGGGAAUUUGAACUUUUGAAGUUCAAGAAUCUUCAAGGCCUUGGGUAGAGAAAGGGAAAGGGAAAAGACACACAUGGCAGCUGUUUCUGAUCUUCUUAGCCUAUUGUACUUGGGGAAAGUUUUUGAUGCGAAGGAUUUGAUGAGGAGGCAGCAAUCUUUGAUGAUUAAGAUGCACAAGAGGGGCAGCUGCCUGUUACAUAAUUCUUUCAUUUGCCUGCAGGGAUGAUUAAGAAAAUCUUUUAAAGGAGUUGGAUUUUGACCUGAUUAGUAUACCAUGGAAUUUGUUCGUUCCUUGGAUUGGGAACUUAACGUCUCACAAUCAUGCUUUGCGGAAAUGCUUUGAGUAGAGAAUGCAAUGGCUUGAUACUUCCGACUAGCCUAAUGAACCUAGACUCAAUGUUACUUAAGGACAAAUCACUGAUUCUGAUGCCGCCGACAAGAUCGAUGAUUAUUUAUACUCCUACAAUACUACAAAUAUUUCAUAUUGUGCUCGUCGUAUACAUAAAUGAAAUUACUCGGUAAGUUCAUUUUUGCUUCAAGAAGGAUUAUACAUAUAUAUAUAUAUAUGUAUCAGAUCACAUGGCCCAUUCUCAGCAGAGGAUACCUGAUCGUAAAAAGAUAUAUCAAAAUUCAAAUAAACUUGAGAAUGAUUUCACUCGAAGGAUUUGUUGCAGCCAAUUUUGUUGCCCAAAGUGGCAAAGGUUUGUUAGGCAACCUCAAGUAUAUAUAAGUGUGUGUGUGUGUGUUUGGGAGCUUGUUGUGGCUGUAUUUUUAAGAUCAUACCUGUGAAGCUUUGUAUGUUAUAGUUAUCUGAAUUCUUGUAGUCUUUUUUUACUUGAACUAUUAUCAGAUAUAAUAUAUAAUUCUUCGAGUCAUUUUUGUUUUAUGGAAUGAAGUUGAGGAGUGAUUGUAUUGAGUUUUUUGUGUGUAAAUGCUAUUCUAUUUAAGUGACGAUGAAAAUGGUAGCUUUGAUCA